CUUGGUUGUAAAGAACCAAAAAGACUGACAGGCACUCACAGAAUGCCCAGCACGUGCCUGACUCUGUGCCAGGGCCCAGCUUCCCUGCAAGCGGGCUGUGUGGCAGGGUCUGGGGCUCUCAUGGAAUUUCAAAUCUGAUUGAACUCAUACAACCCUUAUUGUGCAUGUCUGUGUGCAGAUCUGUGCCAUGGGGCCUUGGGUAAGUUAUGGGACCUUCCAGCCUCAGUUUCCUCCUCUGUAAAAUGGGCAUACUGACACUUUUCUCAGUCGGGUGGCUUUAAGGAUUUGAUGAGAUAUUUUAAGGCACCAAGUACAGGCUUCUAGGUGAUCACCUCUGGUUCUUGGUGGUAAUUAAUUCAGUAUCUUAAGUUGUGCUCUGUGUUCAUUUGCCUAGUUUCUGCCUCUCCACCUUGGGUUUGGUGCUGGCCCAUGUGGAAUAAUGGGUGCUGGCCCUUCCUGUCCUCUUGAACUUCUUCCAUGAUUGGCCAGUCCAUGCUUUCCUGGUGUUUAUACAGGAUGGCCACAAGCCCUUGCCGUAUAGUUCACACCCUCCUCUUUGCUCAAGAGGAGGUGGUCCCAAGGCCCCAGUCAGACCCUGGGAUUUCCCAGACAUUUUUAUGCUUCCCCUGGAAACAAGAGACUGUCAGACAUCUGUUUGGGAUUCUGAAAUUCAGAGCUCUCUGGGAAUGGCCCAGGGUUUUGGGGACAGUGGUGACAGAAUAUUUGAAGUUGGAACUUGGGGACACACAGGAUGAUGCCCAGGUAGCUGGGCAGUGUCUACGUAAAAGAUGAAGGGGCUAGCCUUGGUUUUUGUCUCCUUCCUCAUGGGCAGUGUCUCCUGAGUCCGUCCUCUUUUCGUCCCCAGCUUCGCUUGCUGCUUGAGUUUGCCAGCCUCAGCGUGGUCUGGUUGUCUCUACUGCCCUCUCCCAGGGUGCAGUCCUUGCAGUGGAGGCGGGGAGCUUUGUGUCUUGUUUGCAGUUGCCUCCCCAAGACAUGCCCUCAGUAAGCCAGUGCUGAGAGAGGGAGUGAAUGAAUGAAGGGCCAGAUGACAGCUCCGCACAAUGGGAAAAAAUUUAGACAGGGUGAGAGUGCGGUCCCCACCCCUACAGGAAGAGGGUGGUUACAAUUUGUCGUUCUUUCUUCUGUGUGUGCGUUUGUGUGCUGAGUUGUGUAGCUGUCGUUGGAGGUGAAGCACGUUGGUCUACAGACCCCUUUGCUGGGUUGUCCCUGGUGUGUAAUGAUGCUACAUCUCUGGGGUGGUUGGCUGGGAUCAAGGGGACAGCCCUUGGCUAGGACCAGGGGCAUUUUUCUCUGCUCAAAAGAUGCUGAUCCGAUGACCUUUCUCUUUCCUUUCUCCCACUGGAUUUGUCAUAACUGGAUCCAACGGGAGAAAGGAAGCCUAUUCAUGUAGAGUGGGCCAGAGAGGUUUAGUGAUGUCUUGUAAGUAAUAAUCAGGAUUCGAAUGCCAUUCUGAGUCCAAAGACAGUGUUCCUUCUGCAGCAUCACCCUGCCCUCUGAAAUACUAGAAGGUUCUAACCCUGGAAUUUCCAUCCAUCCUGGGUCCUGUGGGA
ensembl:lncRNA